GCGGCGGCCAAUCCGGGCGCGGCUCUCAUGCGGCAGACAGAUGAUCAAGCCGGAGUGCCAAGCCCUCCCUGCCCGAGUACUGAGAGCCUGUCCUCCAUGUUUUAUAAGUAUUGACAUAACACUGUGUUAACAAUGCAUCCACAGAGCUUGGCUGAAGAGGAAAUAAAGGCAGAGCAGGAGGUGGUGGAGGGGAUGGACAUCUCCACUCGAUCCAAAGAUCCUGGCUCUGCUGAACGCACAGCACAAAAAAGGAAAUUUCCCAGCCCUCCACAUUCCUCUAAUGGCCACUCACCACAAGAUGCAUCAACAAGUCCUAUAAAAAAGAAAAAGAAACCUGGUCUAUUGAACAGUAAUAAUAAAGAGCAGUCAGAACUAAGACAUGGUCCGUUUUACUAUAUGAAGCAGCCACUCACCACAGACCCUGUUGAUGUUGUACCGCAGGAUGGACGGAAUGAUUUCUAUUGCUGGGUUUGUCAUCGGGAAGGCCAAGUCCUCUGCUGCGAGCUCUGCCCUCGGGUUUAUCAUGCUAAGUGUCUGAAACUGACAGCCGAGCCAGAGGGGGAUUGGUUUUGCCCCGAAUGUGAGAAAAUCACAGUGGCAGAAUGCAUAGAAACACAGAGUAAAGCAAUGACAAUGCUCACCAUCGAACAGCUAUCAUAUCUACUGAAGUUUGCACUACAGAAAAUGAAACAGCCAGGGACAGAGCCAUUUCAAAAGCCAGUUUCACUGGAUCAACACCCAGAUUAUGCAGAAUAUAUCUUUCAUCCAAUGGACCUUUGUACAUUAGAGAAGAAUGUUAAAAAGAAAAUGUACGGUUGCACUGAAGCAUUUUUGGCUGAUGCCAAAUGGAUUUUGCACAACUGCAUUAUUUACAAUGGGGGAAAUCACAAAUUGACACAGACAGCAAAAGUCAUCAUCAAAAUCUGUGAGCAUGAGAUGAAUGAAAUCGAAGUUUGUCCGGAAUGUUAUUUAGCUGCUUGCCAAAAACGAGAAAAUUGGUUUUGUGAGCCUUGUAGCAAUCCCCACCCUUUGGUCUGGGCUAAACUCAAAGGCUUUCCAUUCUGGCCUGCUAAAGCACUGAGGGAUAAAGACGGGCAAGUCGAUGCCCGUUUCUUUGGCCAACAUGACAGGGCCUGGGUUCCAAUAAAUAAUUGCUACCUCAUGUCUAAAGAAAUUCCUUUUUCUGUGAAAAAGACUAAAAGCAUCUUCAAUAGUGCAAUGCAAGAAAUGGAGGUUUAUGUUGAUAACAUUCGUAGAAAAUUUGGAGUAUUUAAUUACGCACCUUUCCGGACACCAUAUACUCCCAACAAUCAAUACCAAAUGUUGUUAGACCCUGCAAACCCAACUGCUGGAACUGCAAAGACAGACAAACAAGAGAAAAUCAAACUGAACUUUGAUAUGACAGCAUCACCCAAGAUUCUGAUGAGCAAGUCCAUGCUGAGCAGCAGCACAGGCCGUAGGAUUUCAUUGACAGAUAUGCCACGGUCACCAAUGAGUACAAACUCAUCAGUUCACACUGGCUCUGAUGUUGAACAGGAUGCAGAGAAAAAAGCAACUUCCAGUCAUUUUAGUGCCAGUGAAGAAUCCAUGGACUUUAUUGAGAAAAAUACAGCUUCUCCAGCACCAACAAGAACAGGGCAAGCAGGGAGCUUGUCAGGCAGCCCCAAACCUUUCUCUCCUCAAGCAUCAACACCAAUUUCUUCUAAGCAAGAAAGAACCUCCACUCCAGGAAGCAUUCUGAAUCUUAAUCUUGACCGUAGCAAAGCUGAGAUGGAUCUGAAAGAGCUGAGUGAGUCAGUCCAGCAGCAGAGCACUCCUGUGCAGCUCAUCUCCCCCAAACGACAGAUCCGGAGCAGGUUCCAGCUGAACCUGGACAAGACAAUAGAGAGCUGCAAGGCACAACUUGGAAUAAAUGAAAUAUCUGAAGCUGUUUAUACUGCAGUAGAACACAGUGACUCUGAAGAUUCUGAAAAAUCCGACACCAGUGACAGCGAAUAUAGUGAUGAGGAUCAGAAAUCAAAGAAUGAUCAAGAAGAUGGUGAGGACAAAGAAGGUACAAGAAGUGACAAAGAAUCAUUGAGCUUGAAAAAAAAACCUAAGCCCCCAGCACAGAAUGAAGACAAGGAGGAACUUAAAAGCACAAGUCCAGAAGUGGAGAAAACGGAAGAACCGGUCAAGGAAAAGUCCAUUUCAGACACUGAGAAAGAAUUUUCUGAAAAGGGAAAAAGUUUACAGCAUCCUGCAAAAGAAAAGCUGAAAGGUAAAGAUGAAACAGACUCUCCAACUGUGCAUCUAGGACUGGACUCUGAUUCUGAGAGUGAACUUGUCAUCGAUCUAGGAGAUGAUCAUUGUGCUCGUGAAGGAAGGAAAAACAAGAAAGAAUCUAAAGAACCUUCUCCCAAACAAGAUGUUAUAGGUAAAACUCCACCCUCCUCCAGUGCAAGCACCCAGCCUCUACCAGAAACUCCAGUCCUCACCCGUUCUGCAGCCCAGACCCCCCCAGCUGGUGUGACAGCAACCACGAGUGCUGCUUCCACUGCCAGUGCUCCAUCUGCAGCCACAGGGAGCCCUGUGAAAAAGCAGAGACCUUUGCUGCCCAAGGAAACUGCCCCUGCUGUGCAGCGGGUGGUGUGGAAUUCUUCCAAUAAAUUCCAGACAUCUUCUCAGAAAUGGCACAUGCAGAAGGUACAGAGGCAGCAGCAACAGCAGCAGAGCCAGCAGGCUCAGUCACAGCAACCUCAGUCCUCUCAAGGGACAAGAUACCAGACAAGACAAGCAGUUAAAGCUGUGCAGCAAAAAGAGAUCACCCAGAGCACUUCCACGUCCACUAUAACCUUAGUCACAAGCACUCAGCCUAUUUCUAUGGUUACCAGUUCUGGAUCUGCAAGUACACUUUCUUCCUCACUAAACACAGACCUGCCCAUUGCAACAGCUUCAGCUGAUGUGGCUGCAGAUAUUGCUAAAUAUACCAGCAAAAUGAUGGAUGCCAUCAAAGGAACAAUGACUGAAAUAUAUAAUGAUCUCUCAAAAAAUACUACUGGAAGUACAAUAGCUGAGAUUCGGCGUUUGAGGAUUGAGAUAGAAAAACUUCAAUGGCUCCAUCAACAGGAACUCUCAGAAAUGAAGCAUAACCUAGAACUGACAAUGGCUGAAAUGCGCCAGAGCCUGGAGCAGGAACGAGAUCGUUUGAUUGCUGAGGUGAAGAAGCAGCUGGAACUGGAAAAGCAACAAGCAGUGGAUGAAACCAAGAAGAAGCAGUGGUGUGCCAACUGCAAGAAAGAGGCCAUCUUCUACUGCUGUUGGAAUACCAGCUACUGUGACUACCCCUGCCAACAAGCUCACUGGCCUGAGCACAUGAAAUCGUGCACACAGUCAGCUACUGCGACACAGCAAGAAACAGAUACUGAAAUUAGCACAGAAACACUAAAUAAAUCAUCCCAGCCCAGUUCAAGUGUGCAGUCUACACCCACAGAAACAGCCAGCACCCCUAAGGAAAAGGAAGGUUCAGCUGAUAAAAGCAAAGAGAGUGUUACAGAUCCAUCAGUGUAGCUUCUGGUCUGGAUCUUUCGAUACAAGUUGCCUUCUGAUAAGCAAUACUGACUGCAGCACUUCCAAGCCCUUCUUGCCUGGGGGUUCAGAGGCCAAGCUCAAGACCUGCAUUCAAAUCAACUUACUUUAUCACCACAGACUGUCAUUAGGGUACCACAAUGUUCCAUAACACUGAUACAACAGUUCACCUGGAUCUACGGUUAACGGAGCAGUUCCGAAAUCCUCCAUAGCAUCUACUCUGAUAGUAUUCAGUAGGCAAGGAUGAGCAAAUGCUCUAAUAAAAGGGACUUAACAUUGCAUAUAUAGAAAAUGUUUAUAGAGAAGAUUCUGCUUUAUAGGUAGGGCUUGACUAUUAGCAAUUUUGGCAUCAUUUUUUUUUUUCUCCCCUUGCAAGAUUUAUUAAAUGAAAAAUUUUAGGGGGGGGGCUGAUCCUUCAAACCCUUACACGUGAUCCUGCACAUCAGUAGGAGCCUUGUUGUAUUUUAAAAUAUUAAAGGCAAACUAAUUUUGUAGUAUUGUGAUUCCAGCAUGAUGUCUCAUUGAGAUAGUCCUGUAGAAUUGGGAAGCAUAGUAAUCUAGAGAGCUGUGUUCAUUUCUUGACACUUUUGCUACUGUCUGGUGUUAGAUCUCUGGGCUUGACAUGUCACCUAAGGGAGUAACUUGGGGAAACAGAUUUGAAGAGGGGGAAUAAGGAUGUGCUGUUCCACUUGAAUACUUUGAUGAAGUUGGUUAAACUCUGGCUCAUUCAGUUGAUGUUUGUUUGCAUUGUUCUGGUGGCACAAGCUUUAUAUUACUGGGGAAAUAGGGAAUGUGAGACCUAAAGCUUGCCAGGGAAUAUUCCAGUUAUACAAAUCUGGAAUUUCACAUAGGUGUUCUACCUGAAACAUCAUGCUGUAUACAUGGAUUAUGUUCACAAUUUGAAUUUUGUUUGAUUAACAAAGAAGUAACCUGUGAAUUCAUUGAGAUGCAGAUAAACAUCCAACAUAAAUUUCCUAUCGUAGUAACAAAAACUAGGUGGAAUUUAUGUAAAAGCUGAGGCUUCUACUGAGGUUGCCCGUGCUGUCUCUGCAGAUAGCAACAGGUGUGACAAGCAACCAGCCUAUAAAACUGGUCCAGGUACCACAGACCACCACCUAUAUUCCAACUACUCAACCCACAAUUACCAUUCCUGUAGUGGUAAGUCCUUCUGCUGGGACAGUGGCAAUGAGAACUGGAGUUCAGUAUGUUCAGACCACAAUGCCAGUCCAAGUACGAAGAGUCUAACUGCUAACAAGAAGUCCAUACAAUUGUUGGAAUAAAUAAGUCUAAUAGAAAUGUGAAAAAUAAACACAGUUCUUUGGAUUAACCUCAAA